GACAGAGGGUGCAAACGUUGUUCGGAAUUACUGGGCGUAAAGCGCAUGUAGGCGGCCACGCAGGUCGGAUGUGAAAUCCCUCGGCUCAACCAAGGAAGUGCAUUCGAAACCGCAUGGCUGGAGUCCCGGAGAGGAAGGUGGAAUUCUCGGUGUAGAGGUGAAAUUCGUAGAUAUCGAGAGGAACACCGGUGGCGAAAGCGGCCUUCUGGACGAGGACUGACGCUGAGAUGCGAAAGCGUGGGGAGCAAACAG
rnacentral:rRNA from 1 species